GACGAACGCUGGCGGCGUGCUUAGCACAUGCAAGUCGAACGGAAAGGCCCUGCUUUUGUGGGGUGCUCGAGUGGCGAACGGGUGAGUAACACGUGAGUAACCUGCCCUUGACUUUGGGAUAACUUCAGGAAACUGGGGCUAAUACCGGAUAGGAGCUCCUGCUGCAUGGUGGGGGUUGGAAAGUUUCGGCGGUUGGGGAUGGACUCGCGGCUUAUCAGCUUGUUGGUGGGGUAGUGGCUUACCAAGGCUUUGACGGGUAGCCGGCCUGAGAGGGUGACCGGCCACAUUGGGACUGAGAUACGGCCCAGACUCCUACGGGAGGCAGCAGUGGGGAAUAUUGCACAAUGGGCGGAAGCCUGAUGCAGCAACGCCGCGUGCAGGAUGACGGCCUUCGGGUUGUAAACCGCUUUCGCCUGUGACGAAGCGUGAGUGACGGUAAUGGGUAAAGAAGCACCGGCUAACUACGUG
rnacentral:rRNA from 1 species